GGGGGUUUGUGUUGGGCUGAGGGGCAGGGCAUGAAGUGGGGAGAGGAAGGCUUGAGCAGGGCUGGGGUAUCAUUUUGCAGGCUGGGGAUCAGGGUUCAUGAGGCUGGAAGGGAGCACAGUGGGCACUGAGGGGCAGCAGGGCGCUGUGAGUAGUGGGGCUGAGGGGAGUAGGGACCAUGAGGGGAGGGUAUGGGAUGCAAAUGGACAGGGAGCAUCCCUUGAGUGUUAUGUGUAAUGGGAUCUGUGGUGGGAGUUGCUUCCAGAAGAAAUACAGCUCCAACUCAUGGCAGAAGAUCACUAGGUCUUCUUGGGAAGCCAGUAUUCAUCAGGUGAGUGCGACUGAGGCAAGGCCAGUGACUCAUGCACUCUCCCUGGGUGGGCAGCAGCCACUCAGGAGCCUUUCAUGCCCACUGGUGCCACGUAGGCUGAGGGCCUGGGGAUGGCUGCUGGCGGCUGUGUCUCAGUCUAGUGCCUGCUGGCCUCACCCGUGGCCCAGAUCAACCCCCAGAGGUUCCCCUGCUGGGUUCCUCCUAUGCAGUAACAGGUGUGAGCAUCCAUGCAGCAUUCUGAUGGUCAUGUAUGAUACUGCACACAACGAGUUGCUGUCUUCAGCUAAAGGAAAGUUCUCUUUACAGCUUGAGGUUUAAUUUUGUAAUGUGUACUGCAUCUUUUAAAAGCUGUCUUGUGCUAUUAAGCUGUCAUUGCUCUUCCUUUACAGGCAGGUUUUACAUGUGGAAGGUAGAAUUUAGGUACAUGGGUGAUCAUUAUUUUCCCCUUGAUUUAUCACAGGUAUUACCUAUUUAUUAUCUAUAUUUAUUUCAUGUAAUAGGGAGUACCGAUAGGCUGGUUCUUUAUUUGAACAAACCAAGGUUCUGUUGAAAGCUGUGUACUUUGUCCUCCUGUUGCAUCUGUGCUUUUCUUUAGUGUUGACUUUUUUUCUACAACCAAGGAGUUCAGCUGAGGUCCCAGCUAAGGCCCUUGUGUGCUCUCGCAGGUGUGGGGCAGGCCUGGAUUGGCAACUGGCACCCAAACAGCCCAGACUGCUGGGGGGAAAAAAAAAAAUCAUUCGCCACCACUAAAAAGGCACUUAAUUGUUUAUUUUUGGUGUCUGGCAGCUGUGUGUGGUCAGAAUGCUAUAGGAAAGGAUUUUAAAACAAGCAGGGGGUGGGGUGCUGUUUUUAUGGAUUGUUUUAGUUGAUGCUGGUGCACAGAAGACAGGUCUGUGUGGGGCAGUGGUCUCCAGCUUUAGCUGGCUUUCUUGCUAAAACCCUGACUGGGUAAUGGGCUCUGUUUGAAAAACACUGCACAGCGCUUAGGAAAUCUCCAUUUUAAUUUGCUUUCCUGUGGCAGUAAAGCAGUCCUAAGGGGUUUCUCUGAGGUGGCUUACUGUGUGUGAGCUGGAGCCUUUUGGGCUUUUGCAGGAAGCUUGCUUGGGAUCACGAGAGGAGCUGAAGUGUAGCUGUCAUUGCUGUUACCAGCCAACAGCAGGGAGGGCCAAGUUCAGCACGACUGAGAUGAUAAAAGUCUAAUGCUCAUCUCAUUUUUCUUUAAGGGAUUUGAACAGAGCUGCCAGAUGUUUAGCAGGGCUCAGGCAAAGGGAACAGCAGACAUUACUGGGUGCCUGCAGACGUGGGGCACUUCCAGUUAAAUCUGCCCAGUUGCCAGCAGCUAUUUGAAUGCAUGGGGCUAUCCUUAUUGGCCAUGCCCAGGGGAAGGUCCUACUUCGAAAUGGAGACAGACAUCAGAUCCUCUGGUCCUCCUCCACAGCAGGGUUGAAAUCAAAGCUUGUAUAGAUUUGUGAGGUGAUAAAGUAACUGCCUUCUUAAAUGACACGCACCUUUGGCAAAGUGUUUGUUUCAUCAGUGUCAGGCAGACACAUGUUCAGAAUAACCUUGCUUCAGAGUGAGCCAGGCUGCCUGCAGCUUGCAAGGUACUUGUAGAUAAAGCAUGGUGCUUCCCAGUACCGCAUUCAGCUGAUGGGCUGAAUGCUUAUUGCUUUUUCUCACCUAUGUCAACUCUGUUUUUCUUGCAGCCCUCACCUAACAUAGCAAGUAUUGUACCUGAUGUAAAACUGUAGCAGUGAUGCAGUUUAACGUCACCCUUCUGGUCCUCUGUGGACUGUAAGGUGAAUUUUGCUGCCUUUUGACUUCAGCCAACAGUGACAAUUGUGCUUGGAUUCAAGUCCAUGGUGGCUCAAUGAGCAUGGGGUUUCUUUUGGGAGGGAGGUUGGCACCUGAGCUGCUGCCUGGGCUCUUGUUUGAGGCUUAGAAGCAGCAGCUUGCAGUGUACACAUCACUAAGUACUGUGCUUAAUGCUUGCUGCUCUUUAUGUAGGUGUUCCUGCUUACCAUGGAGUGGCUGCUGAAUCUGCACCCUCACCAAGGUGGCUGAACCGAAGAUCUGUCUGCGUUAUGGUGAGAGUUCUGCCCCUGCAGUUCCAUUUGUUUAUACCUGUGUGGUCUCUUUAGGCUGUAGAAGGUAUUUUUGCCAAAGUAGAUGGUAAAUGUGAAUAAAUUCCAAUUCUUCAA